UACGGGGGGGGCGAGCGUUGUUCGGAAUUACUGGGCGUAAAGGGUUUGUAGGUGGCCUGCUAAGUCAGACGUGAAAUCCCUCAGCUUAACUGGGGAACUGCGUCUGAUACUGGCGGGCUUGAGGACAGGAGAGGAACGCGGAAUUCCAGGUGUAGCGGUGAAAUGCGUAGAUAUCUGGAGGAACACCGGUGGCGAAGGCGGCGUUCUGGACUGUUUCUGACACUGAAAAACGAAAGCCAGGGGAGCAAACGGG
rnacentral:rRNA from 2 species